UCUGAAUCUGCGAACGGCUCCGCAAACCAGUUGUAAACCAAAGCAAGCAUACUCGUGGUCUGCCCUUCACGGGGUGGGCUGCGGGUGAUACGGAUAACCCUGGUAAUUCUGAGGCUAAUACGAGACUGUACUCCCUGGCUAACCGGGCAACUGGUAGGCUGGGGGGCGUGUGAUCUAUUUGCAAGACGAUUCCAGGAAGGGGUGCACGCUCUGACCGCGAUAAAGACAGUUCUGGUGGACCCUCACGGGCGAGCCAGUUCUGAGCGGCUCUUGCGAUGUGCUUCUGACCUAUCAACUAGAUGGCAGCGUAACGGACAUGCCAUGGU
rnacentral:rRNA from 1 species